UCUCUGUUGGGAGAGGGGCUCUUUGGCGGAAGCCGUAAAGGUCUCUGCUUGCAGAAACCGACCAAGAGCCCCUCUCCCAACAGAGACAAACACAGGGAGGGACAGUGUUAAUAAUUGAGAAUCCAGCUCAAUUCCUUUAGAGGCCGAAUCGUUGCGAAUGGAAAAUAUAGUUAUAAGUAGCACAGAACUGAGUAUGGAACCAAGAGAAGAUGGGGUUUCCGAUGUUGCAAAUGGAUCCUCGGUGGUUACUUGUUCUUUGUUGCGGAGAAGGAUUGAGUUCCACCCUGCAAGAAAAUCGUUUACUGGGUUGAGAAAUAGCAGUGCUGGUGGCGAUUUUCGAAUUGAGACUCUAAACCCUGAUCCUGGUCGUAAGAGGCCUUCAGGGUUGAACCCUUAUCAGACUGGGAAAAAAGUGGACGGGUCGGAUUUCGUUGAGAAUGGGCUUGAUCCGGAGCUCAGUUUCGGGAUUUCUUUUAGGAAAAUUGGUGCUGGUUUGGAAAAUCUUGGAAACACUUGUUUUCUCAAUUCGGUUUUGCAGUGUCUAACAUAUACUGAGCCUCUGGCAGCAUACUUGCAAAGUGGAAAGCAUCAAAAUUCUUGCCAUAUUGCUGGUUUUUGUGCGUUGUGUGCUAUCCAGAAACAUGUUAGUCGUGCUCUGCAAUCAACUGGGAGGUCACUGGUGCCCAAGGAUCUUGUAUCAAACUUGCGUUGCAUAUCUCGGAACUUCAGAAAUGCUAGACAGGAGGAUGCUCAUGAGUACAUGGUAAACUUGCUGGAAUCAAUGCACAAAUGCUGCUUACCUUCAGGAGUUCCAAGUGAAUCCCCUGCUGCUUAUGAAAAGAGUUUGGUGCACAAAAUCUUUGGUGGUCGCCUCUGUAGUCAGGUGGAAUGCCAACAAUGUUUGUACUGCUCCAACAAGUUUGAUCCAUUUUUAGAUUUAAGUCUUGAAAUAGUUAAGGCAGGUUCUUUGCCUGUAGCAAUUCAAAACUUUACUGCUGCAGAGCUGCUAGAUGGAGGAGAGAAGCAUUAUCAAUGCCAGCGAUGCAAGCAGAAAGUUAGAGCUAAGAAAAGGCUUACAGUUCAUAAAGCUCCAUAUGUGCUUACCAUCCAUCUAAAGCGCUUUCAUGCACAUGAUCCUGGACGGAAAGUUGACAAGAAAGUGUCAUUUGAUCGUUCAUUGGACAUGAAACCAUUUGUCAGUGGUUCCUAUGAAGGAGAUUUGAUGUACAGUCUCUAUGGUGUUCUGGUACACUUUGGUCAUAGUACCCAUUCUGGUCACUAUGUCUGUUUUGUUCGCACAUCAAGUGGUAUAUGGUAUCUCCUCAAUGACAAUGAGGUUCGCCCAGUUAGUGAGAAGACUGUUCUAGACCAGAAGGCUUAUAUGCUAUUUUAUGUCCGUGAUAGAAAAAGUUUUGUUUCAAAAAAGCCUGUCGAUGUAGUUCGGAAAGAAAGUACAAAAGCAACUACUGGCAGUAAUAUUACGAAUUUGGUUUUCAAGCAGUUGUCAAAGGAACCUGCAGAUAAUGGCUCAGUUGGGAAUAGAUCUUUGGCUGUAGGCUGUGCUGCUGCUGUUAAUAAAAAAGAUUCACUAAAAAGUGGUGCAUCAAAGAGGAUCCUUCAGAAAGAAAAUCGACCAAUGAUUUCUGAAGGCUUAGUGAUAAAAGCAGAUCCUGGUGCAGGACCAUCAAGUUCACCAUUACCAAAGAACCUGCCAAAAGAAGUCUCUCCAAACCCAGAUCUGGAAGAUUGUUUGCCACCUUCAGCACCAUUCAUUAGUAGCAAAAGUGACACUGCUAAAGUUGAUAAUGCUAUUGUCACGCUUGGGGCGAAAAGUGCCUGUAAUGAGGCAUCUUGUAACAGCAAUGAGCCCCAAAAUUCACCUAUUGAAAAGCUUGUCACAAAUGAGGCCUCAGGAAAGAUUAAUCUCGUCUCAAAUGUGGGAGUUAAUGGAUCAGAGGAGAAGAUCCCAAGGCUCUCUCUAUCUGUAGAUUCUAGUGACAAAGUGUUGAACAAAAUAGACAGUGGAAAAUCACCAAAUAAAUCUAGCUGUAAAAGCAGUCAGGGUGGAGGUUUUCCCAAUGAGGGUGCUGCUGGGAAUUCAUUUGGUGUUGAGGAUGCAGAUAGUAGUAAACGAAUUGUAAAUGUGUUGGUUGUAUCGUCAACCCCAUCAGAUAUGCCAAAUGAAUGUCGACACAGUAAAGCUUGUGAUUGCUCAUCUCAUAAACAUUUUAAAAGGAAGCUUUUAAAUUUUAGGAUUCCAAAUAUGCAUUUUGGCUCAAAAUUAUUCAGAGCAUCUUUAGGCAUUCGGAAAAAGAAGAAACAUAGAAAGUGCAAGCACCGCUCAUCACGGACCCAGAAUGUCAUUGAAGGACAAUUGCUGGAGAGUAAUUGUUUAUCAUCAGAUGUUGGGCCAUCUACGUCAAAGAUAUCCUUGUCACUUUCAUCGGGCUCAACAAAAUCUCAAAGGAAGAGGGCUAAAUCUCGUUCAAAGUGUAGAGGCGAUACCCUGAUGGAUGCUGUGGAUGAAGGAUUUGAGAAUAGGAACAAUCAGAACAGUGUUCUGGUUGCGAUGGAUAAACAGUUAAAAAAGAGCUCAUUAUCAAUAUCUGAAGUGAACCAACAGGUUGCAAGUGUUCUUGAUUGUACAGAAAUUAGCAAAAAAGAUGUGUCAGAAAAUGUAGUGAUGUGCAUGCUUACUCGAGGUCUAGAAGAGACAUCUGGUGAGUACUUGUGUUGACCAGUCAUCCAAAUAUUUUCCAAUUAUUCAUAUAUUUUUUUUUCUCCCCGAAAUUACAAAUGUUGCCUUUUUAUCUGUUAAUUUCAUUUCAUGCAUAUGUGGUGCUGGACCUGCUGGUGUGUUGUGUGUGAGUAACUGAGUAUAUUCUUUAUCCCCUUGUAUCAUGUCGGAGCUAGUUCCAGAUAAAUAGAUGGCUGCCUUUUCCUCUUUAGGCUCUAGUUUUUAUUGUGGCCAAUGAAUUCUUAGACCAAUCCCUUUUGAACUUCUUCUGCACUUGCAAUUUCAGUCAGUGUUACCAAUGGCCUAUAGCCUCAUGCUCCAUAUACUCGGGUUUUGGCCUUGGUGAUGCUGACGUGUGAGUGUAUCCUGUGGGUUCAGGCUGAAGGAAAAUUUCUUAUUUGGAACAACUUAAAAAGAAAUAUUGUUUUCAGAUGCUUAUAAUAUAUGUCCCUGCCAUGGAAUUUCAUGCAAUUGAAAUGCAGGGUUCACGCUUAUUUCCCCGUGGUUCAGGUUAGCAUCUUCCUUCUGAGUUCACAAAAUCCUUGAUGGACCUAUGCAUAGACAGUCCUUAGGCAGUCAUCUUUUCUACAAUGCCCAGUCCUCUGUGCAACUGGAGAAAUAGCAAGAUGAUAAAUAAUAUUACUUUUCUGCUGCUUAUUAUUAGUUUGACAUGCUGAAUAUUGUUUUUGAGCCAUGCCUUGUUUGUUGCAGUUGCACAUUGGGAUGGGAUAGAGGUGCCUCAGUCCCAGAUUGUGGAAUCAAGUACUAC
rnacentral:misc_RNA from 1 species